AAUAAGUUAAUUAAGAGCGUAAGGUGGAUGCCUUGGCUCUCAGAGGCGAUGAAGGACGUGAUAAGCUGCGAUAAGCUACGGGGAUUGGCACACAUAAUUUGAUCCGUAGAUUUCCGAAUGGGGAAACCCACUAUAUUGAAGAUAUAGUAUCCGUUAAGGAAGCAAACCCAGGGAACUGAAACAUCUAAGUACCUGGAGGAAUAGAAAACAAAAGUGAUUCCGCUAGUAGUGGCGAGCGAACGCGGAACAGCCCAAACCAAAAUUGUUUCGGCAAUUUUGGGGUUGUAGGACCACGAUAUUGAAUGUUUAAUGAAUUAGAAUUCUUUGGAAAAAGAAACCAUAGAGGGUGAUAGUCCCGUAUAA
rnacentral:rRNA from 1 species